CUCACUCACUCACUCACUCACUCACUCACUCACCGAAGACCACAUUGUGGUACAUAUGAUUGUUGUGUCCUUCAUGACGCCACGAUAUGUGUCUUGCUUCACAAGAAUUAGUCAGUAGAUUGGUAACAUUAGAAUGACUCCAUCUCCAUAUGGACCAUAAAUAUAUAAAUAUCUAUACCAUGACAAUUAACUUGAUUAUGGUCAUUUAUCCUGAUAAUACUUAUUUGAUUUCAAUUGACACAUCAUUUGGGAGGAUGUCAAAUAUAUUUACUUGAUUUCCUUCUCCAUAAACACAAAUAGUCCUUGUUCAACAGGUGUCAUUAUGUUGAGUCAAUCUGCUAUACACGUUUCUUUAAUAUCUGUAUUAUCUUCAAAAUACAUGGUUCAAUGCAGCUGGAUUAAGAUUGUAUUCUGCUGAAGACGUUUCUACUUCCAUGUAAGUCUUUAUACAACUGCUCUACAUUUUGGUUAGUAGGGGAUAUAGCUUAUAUAGGGAUAUAUGACUUUGUCAUCCUGCGCUUUUGAAUAUAUCAUGUUAAUAUUUUGUUUGUGAAUUUAUCAUAGACAUUGUAUGUAUGUAUUUUCCAACUUUACCUCUCUGUGAAGCGUACAACAAGUAUAUCCCAUCAAAUGUUCAUUGACUUACGUCCCUUGGAUGUACCAGAUUAUGUUUCGUGGUUUUGGUGAACGUGUAAAACUGAAAACUGACAUGAUGUGAUAUAACAGGAAUGUUGACCCAACUCUCUCGCUGGACAGGGGCAGUGGGGUAGCCUAAUGAUUAAAGUGUCCACCUGUCACCCCGACGACACUGGUUUGAUUCCCCGUAUGGGUACAAUGUGUGAAGCCCUUUGAUAUUGCUGGAAUAUUGCUAAAACCAUACUCACUCCCUCAUGUGGAAAAUGACCUUACUCUCAGAGACCAUGUUAUGUUGUUAUGUGUUUCUGUAAACAGGUGCUUCUAUCCUGGGCGUUUGAACACCACAGUAUUUCCUUAUAUAAUACCUUAUUUGAAGGGGUAGUAAGGGGUAACUCUGGGGUGUGACAACUUGUGUAAAGGGGGGAGGGGACAUAUCUCUGCAGGGAGAAUCCACCUACUUAAUACUUCCCCUGCACACUGGGUCACCAAGGUUACAGUUUGACCCUUGGGUCACCAAGGUUUCAGUUUGACCCUUGGGUCACCAAGGUUGCAGUUUGACCCUUGGGUCACCGAGGUUGCAGUUUGACCCUUGAUGAAAAUGCUGCAAAUCAGCUGCACACCCAAAUACUGUGUAAUACUGCUUAAUACUGACCAGUCGUACUGGUACUAUGUGCAAUAAACUCAUGAUUAAAGAUUAUUAUUUUU